AGAGUUUGAUCAUGGCUCAGGACGAACGCUGGCGGCGUGCUUAAAACAUGCAAGUCGAACGGUGAAGGGGCUUCGGCCCCGGAUCAGUGGCGUACGGGUGAGUAACACGUGAGCAAUCUGCCGGAGUGUGGGGGAUACCUCUUCGAAAGGAGAGUUAAUACCGCAUAGGGCGCACUAGUCUCCUGACUGGUGCGGGAAAG
rnacentral:rRNA from 1 species